rnacentral:rRNA from 1 species
UGGGGAAUUUUACACAAUGGGCGAAAGCCUGAUGUAGCAACGCCGCGUGGAGGAUGAAGGAUUUAGGUUCGUAAACUCCUUUUAUAGGGGAAGAAAUUUGACGGUACCCUAUGAAUAAGCACCGGCUAACUCCGUGCCAGCAGCCGCGGUAAUACGGGGGGUGCAAGCGUUACUCGGAAUCACUGGGCGUAAAGGGAGCGUAGGCGUUCUAUUAAGUCUUGAGUGAAAGCCCGCAGCCUAACUGCGGAACUGCUCAGGAAACUGAUAGAAUUGAGUAUGGAAGAGGUCAGUGGAAUUUCCAGUGUAGGGGUAAAAUCCGUAGAUAUUGGAAGGAAUACCAGAAGCGAAGGCGACUGACUGGGACAUUACUGACGCUGAGGCUCGAAAGCGUGGGGAGCAAACAGGAUUAGAUACCCCCGUAGUCCCUGAGCGGGCUGGCAAGGCGCAU